rnacentral:misc_RNA from 1 species
AUUGGAUUCUUCAUUGGGGUGUGUCCUUAAUCAACGACAGUGGCAGCGAAUGGGAUCAACCUCCUAAAGAAAUGAUUCCACCGGGUUCAGUACCCAUCAAAGAUUAUGCUAUUGAGACACCAUUGAGGAAAUCAUCCUCGUCUUCUUCAGGGGACUUUGUUCAUGAAGUGAAGAUAGAUCUUGUUCCGGACAAAACAAUUGCAGCUAUAAAUUUUGUUUUGAA